rnacentral:rRNA from 1 species
CAGUCGAGCGGACAGAUGGGAGCUUGCUCCCUGAUGUUAGCGGCGGACGGGUGAGUAACACGUGGGUAACCUGCCUGUAAGACUGGGAUAACUCCGGGAAACCGGGGCUAAUACCGGAUGCUUGAUUGAACCGCAUGGUUCAAUUAUAAAAGGUGGCUUUUAGCUACCACUUACAGAUGGACCCGCGGCGCAUUAGCUAGUUGGUGAGGUAACGGCUCACCAAGGCAACGAUGCGUAGCCGACCUGAGAGGGUGAUCGGCCACACUGGGACUGAGACACGGCCCAAACUCCUACGGGAGGCAGCAGUAGGGAAUCUUCCGCAAUGGACGAAAGUCUGACGGAGCAACGCCGCGUGAGUGAUGAAGGUUUUCGGAUCGUAAAACUCUGUUGUUAGGGAAGAACAAGUACCGUUCGAAUAGGGCGGUACCUUGACGGUACCUAACCAGAAAGCCACGGCUAACUACGUGCCAGCAGCCGCGGUAAUACGUAGGUGGCAAGCGUUGUCCGGAAUUAUUGGGCGUAAAGCGCGCGCAGGCGGUUUCUUAAGUCUGAUGUGAAAGCCCCCGGCUCAACCGGGGAGGGUCAUUGGAAACUGGGGAACUUGAGUGCAGAAGAGGAGAGUGGAAUUCCACGUGUAGCGGUGAAAUGCGUAGAGAUGUGGAGGAACACCAGUGGCGAAGGCGACUCUCUGGUCUGUAACUGACGCUGAGGCGCGAAAGCGUGGGGAGCGAACAGGAUUAGAUACCCUGGUAGUCCACGCCGUAAACGAUGAGUGCUAAGUGUUAGAGGGUUUCCGCCCUUUAGUGCUGCAGCAAACGCAUUAAGCACUCCGCCUGGGGAGUACGGUCGCAAGACUGAAACUCAAAGGAAUUGACGGGGGCCCGCACAAGCGGUGGAGCAUGUGGUUUAAUUCGAAGCAACGCGAAGAACCUUACCAGGUCUUGACAUCCUCUGACAACCCUAGAGAUAGGGCUUCCCCUUCGGGGGCAGAGUGACAGGUGGUGCAUGGUUGUCGUCAGCUCGUGUCGUGAGAUGUUGGGUUAAGUCCCGCAACGAGCGCAACCCUUGAUCUUAGUUGCCAGCAUUCAGUUGGGCACUCUAAGGUGACUGCCGGUGACAAACCGGAGGAAGGUGGGGAUGACGUCAAAUCAUCAUGCCCCUUAUGACCUGGGCUACACACGUGCUACAAUGGGCAGAACAAAGGGCAGCGAAGCCGCGAGGCUAAGCCAAUCCCACAAAUCUGUUCUCAGUUCGGAUCGCAGUCUGCAACUCGACUGCGUGAAGCUGGAAUCGCUAGUAAUCGCGGA